UUCUUAAUGAUUUCAGCUACAAUACAACAUUCAGCGCCUUCGCACUCGACUCGCCUUAAUAGAACUUCUGUGCUACUAUUCUAAACUUGUAUAAAGAAUCUCGGGCAGCCGUACUUUAUCUUCCUGCAAAAGAUCAGUUUGAGUCGUCGAAUAAUUUAAUUGAGCCCCUCUUAGAGAUUUACUAUGAAACCCAAGAACUCUCAUUUCCCCAUUAUCAUCAAGUUGAUAAAGUAUGCCUGAUAAGCCGAUACCUGAGGAAUCUGUUUGCAAAUAAUAAGGUUUGCUAAAAUCAGGAUGUUGUAAUUGAAUAACAUCUACGAAAGUCCUUUUUAUUGUCUCAAAAGCUUUUUGUUCAUUGACACCCCACUGCCACGUCACUCCUUUUUUCAAUAAAUGACACAAUGAUUGUACAUUUUCGCUAUAAUUAGGGAUAAAUCUUCUAUAAAAGUUACACAGUCCCAAGAAAGCUCUUAAUUGUUUUAUUUUUCUUGGAGCUGGAAAUUCCUGUAUCGCUUUAAUUUUAUCCGGAUCGGUUUUU